rnacentral:tRNA from 2 species
GGGCCUAUAGGUAAGUGGUAUACCGCUAUCUUCGCAUGAUAGAGUCGCCAGUUCGAUUCUGGCUAGGUCCACUA